CCUCCCCCGCCCCCGGCGGCGGGCGAUCGGGUCAGGGCCGCGGGCGCUGUGCUAGGCGGGGGCAGGGGGCACUCGUCCUCCCUUCCUAGGGAGGAAAAAGGAGAGAGAAAAAUCAAGUCGCAGCCGGCUUGGGCCGGUGUUGCGGGCGUGCUUGCGUGAGGCUGAGACUGAGAAGGCUUCCCCACCUGUUUCCAACCGACGCCAAGUGUGAAGUGAGGUGGGAACAGGCCUCUGACUGAGCCCGCGUCCACUAACUGCCCUUGAGGGGAGGGACCUGGCCUCCGACAGAUGGGGUGGAGGAGCCUCCGACUGACUGAGGCCAUCCUGUCUGAAACUCAGGAAACACAGAGUCCCUGGUUGUGUAAUAAGAGUAUACUUGAAAAGUACCCUGUCCUUAUCUGACAACCCAGAUGAAGAAUACUGGCCCUCAAGCUGCUUUUCUUAAAACUAGAGAGACACAGCGAGAGAGGGAACACAGCAGGGGGAGUGGGAGAGGGAGAAGCGGGCUUCCCACGGAGCAGCGAGCCCGACGCGGGGCUCGAUCCCAGGACCGAAGGCAGACACUUCACGACUGAGCCACCCAGGCACCCCGACGCUUUUAAUUUUAAUAAGUCCAAUUUGUCAACUUUUUCUUUUGUGAAUUGUGUUUUUGGAGUCAUCACCAAGAAUUAUGUGUUUAAUUCCACAUCAUGAAGACUUUCUCCUAUGUUUUAUUCUGAAAGUUUUAUGGUUUUAGGUCUAUGAUCCAUUUUGAGUUAGUUUAGUAUAAGGUGUAAGGUGUAAGUUGAUACUCUUUUUUUUAUAUAUAUGGAUGUCCAAUUGUUCUAAUGCCAUUUGUUGAAAAAAACUAUCAUUUCAUCGUUAAUAGCUUUUGUGUCUUUGUCAAAAAUCAGCUGGCCAUAUUUGUGUGGGUCUACUUCUGAAAAUAUGCUACAUGAAAGGCCAUAUAUUGGAUGAUUCUAUAUGUGUGUACUCCUUUGCCAGUACAAUUCUGUCUUGAUUACAGUAGCUAUAUCAUCAGUCUUAAAAUUGGAUAAUGUGAUUCUUCCAACUUUAUACUUGUUUUUUAAAAUUAUUUUGUUCUUUUUCUGGUUCCUUUGCCUUUCCAUUUAAAUUUUAGAAUCACUUGUCUAUAUCUACAGAAAAAAUUCCUGCUGGGAUUUUAAUUGGAAAUCUAUUAAAUUUAUAGGUCAAUUUGGGAGAAUUGAUAUCUUUAUUAUGUUCAGUUUUGCAAUUCAUGAACAUGGUAUGCCUCUCCAUUUAUGUAAGUUUUUAAAUUUUUUUAUCAGCAUUUUGUAGUUUUAUCUUGAACAUGUUUUGUUAGUUCAUACUUAAUUAUUUCAUUUCAGUGAGCUUUUGUAAUGAUAUUUAAAAAUUUUUAUUUUCCAGUUCUUUAUUGCCAAUAUAUAAGAUAUAACUGAUUUUAUUUUUUUUAAAUUUUUAUUUAUUUAUUUAUUUUUAAAGAUUUUAUUUAUUUGACAGAGAGACACAGCGAGAGAGGGAACACAGCAAGGGGAGUGGGAGAGGGAGAAGCAGGCUCCCCGUGGAGCAGGGAGCCGGAUGUGGGGCUCAAUCCCAGGACUCUGGGAUCAUGACCUGAGCCGAAGGCCGACACUUAAUGACUGAGCCACCCAGGCGCCCCUAUUUAUUUUUUAAAGUAACCUCUACACCCAACAUGGGGCUCGAACUCACAACCCUGAGAUGAAGAGUUGCAUGCUCUACUGAUUGAGCCAGCCAGGUGCCUCAAGAUGUAACUGAUUUUAAUGUGUUUACCGGAUAUUCACAUGCAAAAGAAUGGAUUUGGACCCCUAUCUCACACCAUACACAAAAAUUAACUCAAAAUGAAUCAAAGACCUAGAUGUAAUAGCUAAAACUAUAUAACUCUUAGAAGAAAAUAUCUUCAUGACCUUGGAUUAGGCUUAUUAGGUAUGACACUAAAAGCACAAACAACUAAAGAAAACUAGAUAUUUUGGACUUCAUUUAUAUCUGAUAAGGGUAUAAGAUCCAGAAAAACCAAUUGGAGCAACAUUUGUGUUUCAGAAGACACAAGUAAGAAAUUGAAAAGAGGGGCACCUGGGUGGCUCAGUCAGUCGUUAAGCGUCUGCCUUCGGCUCAGGUCAUGAUCCCAGGGUCCUGGGAUUGAGUCCCGCAUUGGGCUCCCUCCUCAGUGGGAGGCCUGCUUCUCCCUCUCCCACUCCCUCUGCUUGUUGUGUUCCCUCUCUCACUCUGUCAAAUAAAUAAAUAAAAUCUUUAGUAAUAAUAAUAAUAAUAAUAAUUACUUAAAAAGAAAAUGAAAACCUGUAGAAUGGAAGAAAAUAUUUACAAAUAUGCAACUGAACAUAUGUUCCCAGAAAAAUGAAUGCUCAUAGUAGCAUUAUUUAUGAUAGUCAAAAAGUGAAAACAACUCAAAUGUCCAUCAACUGAUGAUUAGAUAAACAAAAUGUGGAAUAUCCAUGGAAUACAAUGGAAUAUAACUUAGCCAUAAAAGGGAAUAAGUACUGAUACCUGCUAUAACAUUGAUGAAUCUUGAAAACAUUAUGUUAGGUGAAGGAAGGCUACAUGUUAUGUGAUUCCAUUUAUAUGAAAUGUCCAGAUAAGGCAAAUCCACAGAGAUAGAAAGUAGAUUAGUAGUUGCUGGGAGGAGGGAAUGAGGAGUGACUGUAUAGGUAAAAGGUUACUUGGGGUGAUUUCUAAAGUGUUCUGAAAUUAGGUAGUCAUAAUGGCUGUACAACUUUUUGAACAUAUUAAAAGCCCUGAAUUAUAUACUUUAGAGGGUGAAUUUUAUGUUAUAUGAAUUAUAUCUAAAUAAAAGAAAUUAUGCCACUUUUUUCUUGAGUAGAUGAG